rnacentral:pre_miRNA from 1 species
AAACAGCCCCCUAUGUUUUGAUUCUUUGGCAGUUUUGGACCCCUAAGGAAAAAAAUUGACACGUGGCACCUCACUUAGGGUAUCACGUCAGCGUUGACCAAGUCAACAAUGGACUGGGGAUCCAAAACUGCCAAAGAAUCAAAACAUAGGGGGUUAUUU